CCUACGGGUGGCAGCAGUAGGGAAUUUUCGUCAAUGGGCGCAAGCCUGAACGAGCAAUGCCGCGUGAACGAGGAAGGUCUUCGGAUCGUAAAGUUCUGUUGAAGGGGAAAAAGAGCGGAGAGAGGAAAUGCUUUCUGUUUGAUAUUACCCUUCGAGGAAGUCACGGCUAACUACGUGCCAGCAGCCGCGGUAAUCCGUAGGUGGCGAGCGUUAUCCGGAAUGAUUGGGCGUAAAGGGUGCGUAGGCGGCCUGCUAAGUCUGGAGUGAAAGGUACCGGCUCAACCGGUACAGGCUCUGGAAACUGGCGGGCUAGAGAGCAGGAGAGGGCGGUGGAACUCCAUGUGUAGCGGUAAAAUGCGUAGAUAUAUGGAAGAACAUCAGUGGCGAAGGCGGCCGCCUGGCCUGUUAACUGACGCUGAGGCACGAAAGCGUGGGGAGCAAAUAGGAUUAGAUACCCGAGUAGUC
rnacentral:rRNA from 1 species